rnacentral:rRNA from 1 species
GAUUAAUACCGGAUCAGUCUACAGUUGCAUAGCUGUUUGACUAAAGAUUCAUCGUUCGGGGAUGGGCUCGCGCCCGAUUAGCUUGUUGGUGAGGUAACGGCUCACCAAGGCUAUGACAGGUAGCUGGUCUGAGAGGAUGGUCAGCCACACUGGGACUGAGACACUGCCCAGACUCCUACGGGAGGCUGCAGUCGAGAAUCAUCCACAAUGGGCGAAAGCCUGAUGGUGCGAUGCCGCGUGAGGGAUGAAGGCCUUCGGGUUGUAAACCUCUGUCAGGAGGGACGAAGAAUGUGACGGUACCUCCAGAGGAAGCCACGGCAACUACGUGCCAGCAGCCGCGGUAAUACGUAGGUGGCGAGCGUUAUUCGGAUUUACUGGGCGUAAAGGGUCCGCAGGGGGUUUGCCAAGUUUGAUGUGAAAUCCCGAGGCUCAACUUCGGAACUGCAUUGGAUACUGGCGAGCUAGAGUACAGGAGGGGUGAGCGGAAUUCCUGGUGUGGCGGUGGAAUGCGUAGAUAUCAGGAAGAACACCGAUGGCGAAGGCGGCUCACCGGCCUGCUACUGACCCUCAUGGACGAAAGCGUGGGGAGCGAACAGGAUUAGAUACCCUGGUAGUCCACGCUGUAAACGUUGUGCACUAGAUGUGGGUGGAUUUGAUCCCAUUCGUGUCUCAGCUAACGCGUUAA